AGGUAGGACAGGUGAGACAAGUAGGACAGGUGAGACAAGUAGGACAGGUGAGACAAGUAGGACAGGUGAGACAGGUGGACAUGUCAGUACUGCAGUCAGGUUGUUGUACCUGACUGGUAGUACUGUGUUAAUACAGUAGCCGUAGUACUGCAUCAAGGUAGCAGUAGUACUGCAUUAAGUAGUAGUAGUACUGCAUUAAGUAGUAGUAGUACUGCAUCAAGGUAGCAGUAGUACUGCAUUAAGUAGUAGUAGUACUGCAUUAAGUAGUAGUAGUACUGCAUCAAGGUAGCAGUAGUACUGCAUUAAGUAGUAGCAGUAGUACUGCGUUUAGUAGCAGUAGUACUGCGUUUAGUAGCAGUAGUAGUACUGCCAG